UACGUAGGGGGCAAGCGUUGUCCGGAUUUAUUGGGCGUAAAGAGCGUGUAGGCGGCCAGACAGGUCCGUUGUGAAAACUCGAGGCUCAACCUCGAGAUGUCGAUGGAAACCGUCUGGCUAGAGUCCGGAAGAGGAGUGUGGAAUUCCUGGUGUAGCGGUGGAAUGCGCAGAUAUCAGGAGGAACACCAAUGGCGAAGGCAGCUCGCUGGAACGGAACUGACGCUGAGGCGCGAAAGCGUGGGGAGCAAACAGG
rnacentral:rRNA from 1 species